GGAAUUAUAUAUAUAUCUUAGCUUAAAAUUAUUUUUGAUAAAUUGAUAGAAUUUUGGAGAUAAUUUGGAGAAUCAAAAAAUGGUGGCCACGACUGGACUUGAACCAGCGACCACUACCA
rnacentral:antisense_RNA from 1 species